CUCACACUUUACCUCUUCCAGACGCCUCCCUGCUAAAAAAAAACAGGGACGGCGACCGCUCUUCACCGCUGCCCCUUUCUCCUCUCGGGCGUCGGCAGAUCUGCGCGGGCCGCUAUCCUCUCCUUCCAGACAGGCGACAGUCCUUCCUAGCCAUGGCUGUUAGGCACACCAUUAUUCUGAUGCAACCAUCCCAAAACAGGAGCCCCAGGACGCUCAUGGAUUAUAAUUCAAUUAACCAUGCAUUGGAUGGUAAGUGUAGUUUCUUUAAGGAACCUGUGCUGCAACCUAUGUUUUUAAAGCGUCCCUAAGGCGACGCCUAGGCGACGCCUAGGCGUCGAAGCGCUCCCCCUCCGCUUUGGAAAAUUGACCGCUUUGGGCGCCUAGGCGCCAACGCGCCCCCCUCCCUAAGGCGGUAAGGCGUCGCCUUAAAAACAUAGGCUGCAACAUUCAAACAACUGGCCCAAAUAAUAUUAUUAGCAUGAUCAUAGUGAUUACCAUGUCAGUUGGAGAUUUUGUGUAGUUGCUCACUUGCUCUUAUGUUUUGCAUUUGGAACCUCAUUCAUUUUUCCCUCAUUAACAAGUCUUUCCCCUCAGUUUUGGCUGUGUUAAAGAUGAUUAGUUUAAAAUUGCAAUAACGAUCACCCUGUGCCUAUCCCAUCCUAUUAUUAGUUGGAGGCACGGUCAAUAUUUAAGGCUCUAUCUGUCUAUGCAUUAAACUUGUGAGUGCUCGAGUUUUAGGAAACCAAAGACGAACUGGGUAGCUCAGUGGCAGUGUAUCAAACCAGAAUUAUUCCAUUGAAAAAGACCAAUGUUUCCUGUUCCCUACUCUAUGCUCAACUGCUCACUACCAAACCGAUGGUUACGUCAUAUGCCGUAAUAGAGUCAGAAUUCCUUUUUCUUCCGAAUUGCUACCACUAUGGAAAUGUCAGGAAUCUGUGGUCUCUAUGAAAGGAAAAUCAGGGAUAUCAACCCAAUGAUCCCGAACAUAACCUAUGACAUCACCGACCUGUACAACUUCAUCGACGGCCUAGCUGACAUCAGUGUGCUAGUCUAUGAUCAUGAAAUCCAUGCGUUUCUGCCGUAUGACUGGCAGUGGAUAAAGCAGAAGUUGUUUCAGCACCUUAAGAAGCUGGCUCAAAGAUAGUGACUGGACCUGUCUGUCAACGACUUCAACGAGGACGAGAUCGAGGCUUGAGCUCCGCUUCUCUGUCCUGUCCACAGCAAGUUAUGCAUGCUUACCUUUUCUCUGCCCAGGUUGAAUCCUGCACCCAUGCUAGGUAACCUCUUUUUUUCUUGAUGUUGGACAAUGCACUUUUGGAUGUUUGAUGAAUUGUUUCUCGCCAAUGCUUCAAAUCUAACUACAAGGAAUUUCCUCUGGAAUAUUUGACAAUUUACUAACAGGAGAAGUCUUCAUUUAGUAUGUCUUGCAUGGUCAUGUUGCUCUUUUAAAUUGUGGUUGUGAAGGAUGAUAUCCCGGAGAAGAGCUACAUUGGCUCCUUUGGUUAAUUGUUUAAUGUGUGCUUGACUGUUUUCUACUAGCAUUGAGCAUAGAUGAACGGCACCAUGUCGGCGAGGAGUAGCAGCAGUAGGUCGGCUCAGUCCGAAUGGCAAUUUUCUUUGUUGUUUUCUAUUAUUCAACCACAUAUGUUCGUCUCUUUCUAAUGGCCCAUGUAACUUCAAAAUCUGCAGUGCCAUAUUUACUUGCACUUUGUUCAUAGGAUUGCUGCUACAUUCUGAGCACAACCUUUGAUGUUUUUUGUUUCACUUGUGCUUAGGCCAAUUCCAACCCUCGACCCCAAAGGGACGUCCGGUUUGUCCGGAUUUUGCCCGUUCGGGUAGGCAAAACGGACACGUGCGUCCGCUCGUGGUCGUGCAGCUGUCGGUGUGCCCAACUGGUCCACCGCAUCCCAAACUGUCCGCCUUUUGGACUUAGAAAUUUGACCCUCAAACAAACCCAAAUAGACAUUGCAAAUAAUUUUAAAAUAUUAAUAUAAACAUUAACGUCAACAAAAGUCCAGUCCAAUACAUUUCUUAACUAAACUUAAAAUUAAAAGACAAAAAAGUAGAUAAGGUCGUUGCCACUGUGGCUUUCGUCGUCUUUAGUUGUUGUCGUCCUCGUCGUCGUCCCCGGUGAGGUCGACGUACGGCGGUGGCUGCCAGAGGUCGGCUGGCGGCCUCUUCCAGGUCGGAGGCGCAUGCUAUGGCGCCUGCGGUGGCGCAUGCACAACCUCUGAUUGUGGCGGUGACGGUGACCACGUGCCAGUGUCCACCCACCCGGGCUUCGGCAUGCACGACACCGUAUCCGUCCAUGACAAGGACUGGCCGACCAAGGUCGGGUUCCAUGCCGCCGGCUCCUCCUCGCGCACGUCCUCCAUGGCCUCCUCCUUGACGACUGCGUCGAGCUUUGGGAUGGCGACGUCGCCGACCGCGGGGUGGGCCUAUCAUCUCCUCGAGGCCCUACCAUUGGUGCUCGUCAUGGGUGCAGACGGAGUCCUCUAUCACUAGCCUCAUGAGCUCCUCCUUGGUGGUCAUCGGAGCAGGUGGUGGCGAGGACGGUGAAGGAGUGGGCGUGAGGCCGCGAACCAGCCUACGCCCAUGCGCCCGCGGCUGACUGGGAGGACGACCGGCAAAAAGGAUUGCCGUUGUAGAUCGUGCUCGUCGCGGAGCCAUGUAUCCCACGGCAGGGAGUCCACGGCAUACCUUGCGUCGUGGAAGAGGUCCGGCGGCAGGCAGGCGCGGCGGCGGUCGAUCUCCUCGCGGCGGCCGCGGCCGCUCACUGAGAUCGGUGGAAUGGGCACCCGAUCCGCAGAGAGAUGCCAGUUAUUGGGGAGGUGCAUGUCGCUCCCCGGCAACGGUGUGCCGGUCUCCCAAUAACGCUUGCAUAUCUCCGCCUUGGUGUACAGCCACAUGCGAGGAGCGGUCACCGACGGUGACAUGUGGAACGCUGGAGGAGCGGCUGCAAUGGUCGGAGGACGACCCGACCUCGUGGUCGUGCUUCCCCUUGCGGCCGGGAUCCAAUGCCAGCCCAUUCCGCCGUCUGCGAGGUGGAGGAAAGGCGGACAGAGCUAGGGUUUGGGCAUGUCGGGCUUCAAGGAGGCACGCGUUGUCGGGAGUGGAAGUGUGGAUUGACAGGUCCAUGACUUCCACAUUAAAAAGGACGCCGACCCCACGGCUGGGAGGCUGACAGGCGGCGCGCACGCGCGCCCCGCUCGUGCGCCGUAAAUGCGAGCGGUGGGAGGUAGGUGGGCGGCUACAACAUGGGCCCGAGGCAGAUGCGGAGCGGACACGUUAACGUUCGUUCGCUGUUCGUCUGGACGCAUACCGGGCGUAAUUUUGUGCCGGAAAUGGAGCGGGCUGGACGUCACACGGACAAAAAAUGAAGAUGGGGUUGCGUGUUGGGCCGUGGCGUCCCUUUGGGCCACAGACACCCCGGACCGGAUGGUGUCGUGUGUUGAAGUUGGCCUUAUAGGCUCACAAUCUACCUGCAUGACGCACAUGACCCCUGCGUCGCUCUCAUGGGCGACACGGGGGGAGACCCAGCCGCCGGCCACCUCAAGCCCCUUGUGCACCACGCUUGUGCACCACAUCGAAAGGUGUCUAUAAGGGUUUCUAUUGUGUUCCCAAGCAAAAAACUCACAAUGCAAAGGUUUCAGAAUAAAGGUAGAAUAUCACAUGAAACCCAACAUUGAAUGUAGGAAACCGAUGAAAACCACACGAAAACGUUGUUUUAAAGUUUCAGAAAGGAUUAAAAAAGAUGAGAUGAUAAGAGGGUGAUGCCCUAUAUCCAUGCGAAAAUUCAAGUUUAAACACAUUACGAGAUGCGAGCUAUAAAAAGAAAUCAUCAUUACAUAGUGUCGAACAGUAACAUCACUAUUCAUGCUGAGUUUGUUUUUUUAUAGCUCAUAUCCGGUAAUGUGAUUUAGAGUUUGGGGCGCCUAUAGAACAUUACCCUCUUAACAUCAAAUAUAUAUUUUCAGUUUUUUUUAAACUUUCAAAAUUAGCUUUUAUGAUUUUUUUGAAGGUUGGUUUUCAUGUGAUAUUAUCCUGAGAAUAAAAUGGGCCACCGGAGGCGCCCACGCCCUCGGUCGUUGGUCUUCGGCCUACACGGCACUCGUCGACUCUCCACAAGAUCUCAUCGUAGUUCUAUACUCCGUGGCUGCACAAAACCGCGUGAACUCGACGAUUUGGACAGAAACGGCGAUUUGGAAAAUGAAGUCGUGAACCUGGGAUCAUGGAUAGCAAUUCAGCAGCCACAAUGGCAUCCGCCGCUAGCUCCAACAACACCGCCACGCCCGACCUCGACCUGGAAGCGCAAGUGCCCACGGUGAGCGAGAUCGCGCGGUCCGUGUUCCCAGGGGCUUCCCCGACGAAGGCGCAGCUCGCAACCUCUCUCUGGGCAGUGGGUUCUGCCAGUUUCGCGUUCGGCAUGAGCACCGCCUUCCACCCGCCGCAGGCCGGACCAAUCUUCGGUCCUGUUUUCUGCUACCUCAUCCUCGCCGUGGUCGUCGCCACCGCCGCCGCCGAGAUGGCGACGUCCGUCUUUCUGCACAUCCCGGCCCUCUCCGGCAAGCCGCGCCUCCAGGCCUUCGCGAGGCGUCUUCUGCCGUGCGGGUACCUUGUCCUCCUCGUCUCCGUCUCCGCCAGCGGCCUCGCCAUCCCAUUCAAGCCCUGAUGACCCAAGUACUACACGCUAGUCCAAGCUACUCAAGAGUCCGGUGCUGCAAGUGGUAUUGUGGAAAUAUAUGCGGAGGUGAGUUGGUCCUACAAAUAAUCCUAACCGGUUCUGGCAUCUUAGAGAACACGGAGUGUUGUUCGAUCGAGUAUAUAUAUCUGCUUUGCUAUGCUAUAUGCUAGUACUAGUUGCUAGGUGCAGGCUAGGUUGGCCAUAUAUUUACACAUGUGUAUAUGAUUCUUUUAUCUCGCCAAAAAAAAGUAUACAGGAUUCUUUUAUGGUGGUUUUGUAUGUAUAAUUCUUUGCAUCAGGGUAUCUGUACCGUGAUAAUUAGAAGAAUAAAGAGAUUCCGUGU